rnacentral:rRNA from 2 species
GGAAGUAAAAAGUCGUAACAAGGUCUCCGUUGGUGAACCAGCG